AUUUAAGUAGUUUAAGGGUAAAAUAUUAAUUUGUGGAAUUAAUGAUAUAUAUAUAUGAUAUCUUAAAUU
rnacentral:tRNA from 1 species